CAUGGGCCCUUUACGGGGAUGGGCUACACACGUGCUACAAUGGUGCAUACAGAGGGCAGCAAGCCAGCGAUGGUUAGCGAAUCUCAUAAAGUGCGCUCGUAGUCCGGAUCGGAGUCUGCAACUCGACUCCGUGAAGUCGGAAUCGUUAGUAAUCGUGGAUCAGAAUGCCACGGUGAAUACGUUCCCGGGCCUUGUACACACCGCCCGUCACACCAUGGGAGUGGGCUGCACCAGAAGUGGUUAGUUUAACCUUCGGGAGAACGAUCACCACGGUGUGGUUCAUGACU
rnacentral:rRNA from 1 species